rnacentral:lncRNA from 14 species
ACUAAAUCAUCCGAACUACUUCCUGCAGCACCUGGUUUUUUCCUCACAUCUCCUACCCAAAUAGUGGCUAGACCCAUAUAAAAAUGCUCUCUGCUGAAAUAGCUGGACUGGGCAUUGCUGGAUCCACAACACACAUCGCCAGCAGGAGGCUGCAGAAGUAACAUACAGAAGGAGUAAUGCCUGCAUCCAUUAUCACAACCCUCCCUGGAGGCAGGCUCUGCAGGACAAGGAUGUGAUUAGUGUUUUCUGCCAUGGGAUGUCAGCUGAGGGGUAAGAAUUGUGUGCCAACAGGAAGAAAGAGCCACCACAGAUGGGUGAAGAGCGUCCUUUCAAGCAUGAAGCACAGCAAGUCCAAAACAGAUCCCCAUUCUCCUUGGGGACCAACCUGCAGGGUCAAUGAGAGAAACAGAACAAGUCCUCAGGACUCUCAAGAGCUAAACUGCAAAACCACGGGCUUCAGCAAAACCCUUCAAGCCAGCCCAUCUCCCAGCAGAGCCUCUGUCCCUUUCUCUCAACUCAGGGCUGGAAACAAUGACAGGAUAUUCUCUGCAGCCUGCCUGACAUCCAACAGUGGCAAAGAACCAAAGCACGAUCCAGGCAUUGCCUGCUGCUGGGCUUAUUUCACAGGCACUCAGGAACAGUAA